ensembl:lncRNA
GCUAUGGAAGGAUUUUGCAGCUGUAAUUAAGGUCCAAAAUCAGGUGACUUUAAGACAGGAAGAAAUUCCUUGAUGGCUCAGGUGGUAAAGAAUCUGCAAUGCAGGAGACCUAGGUUCAAUCCCUGGGUCAGGAAAAUUCCCUGGAGAAGGAAAUGGCAACCCACUCCAGUAUUCUUGCCUGGAGAAUCUCAUUGACAGAGAAGCCUGGAGAGCUACAGUCCACAGGGUUGCAAAGAGUCCAAAAGACUGAGCAACUCACUUUCACUUUUCACUUUCAAUCUUAAGAUAGGAAGAUUAACACUUAAAAUAGGAAGAUUAGUAUCUGGGUGGGGCUGACCUGAUCACAUGAGUCCUUUAAGGCUGAGUCUAGAGGUCAAAGACAUUAGGCCAAAGAUUUUAAGCACAAAGAGGGUUUGACAUGAGAUAGCUUUUCAAAAGUGACUCACUUGAACCAACAGAAAGGGGUAGAUGUGAUACAGUGCCAAUUCAAUGCCAAGCCUUGAAGAAGCUUAGCAUCUUCUUUUGCUUUUGGAAAUUAACCAUCGUGGAAGACAUCUGACUGGUAUCCAUGGAGGAAUCCUGUGAUAUUUCAUGCCUACUAUCUUCAGAGAGAGAGAGAGGAGCCAGUUGGAGAAGCACAAAAACACUAGACAUCCUGGAGCUCUAUUUGAGAAGGAAGGAAAGCUUCACCACCAUAAAUCAGAGGUUCCUCUGCAAACUCCACAUAGCGUGUCUCAGGCCUGCGGAAGGUGGAGUUCGUUUGCUGGGACAGUCAAGUCCUUUGGGUUGGGUUAUUGAAUCAUUGGGAGGGAUGAAUUUGUGAACAUGCAUCCCUCCCAAGGCUGCCACUCUUGACAAAUGCUGCACUCAGCACUCAGGUCCCCACUGUGAAUAGACACUGUCUGUGCCACUCCUGGAGGGGCCUGUGCAGCCUGGAGCUGUUCCAAUAUUCCACAUCAUCAGCCUUCUAACUUCCCCGGGGUCAGCCAUUCCUUUUUGGACAGUACCCUUUCCCAGAAUUCAAACAUACAAAACCUUUCUCUUCUUCAAUAUAUUACAUGUUCUUCCCCCCUCCCCACCCCACCCACUCCUUUUAAUUAGACCCUGGAUGGAGUUCCAAAACAUUUAAAAUCAAGGGCUACUUGUGAUUUUUUUUCAAAGAAUAUCUUUCUUUUGUGUUAUUAAUCACUUUAACCAUCUUGAAGCCUCUUUUGGCCAGAGGAUGGUCUCAGAUGAACGAAGUUUCUCUUGUGUUAUGGCUUGUCAUCAAAACUUGAAAGAAUCUUUAGAUAAAAUGUUUUUUUUUUAAUUUUAUUUUAUUUUUAAACUUUACAUAAUUGUAUUAGGUUUGCCAAAUAUCAAAAUGAAUCCACCACAGGUAUACAUGUGUUCCCCAUCCUGAACCCUCCUCUGUCCCCCCUCCUCAUACCAUCCCUCUUGGUCGUCCCAGUGCACUAGCCCCUUAAAUAAACAUUGUUUAAAUUGUUUAUUGUUUAAAUAAAAAUUGUUUAAAUAAACAAUUAAACAAAACUUCUG